rnacentral:rRNA from 1 species
UACAGAGGUGGCAAGCGUUGUUCGGAAUUACUGGGCGUAAAGGGCGCGUAGGCGGCUCAACAAGUCUGUUGUGAAAUCCCGGGGCUUAACUCCGGACGUGCAGUGGAAACUGUUGGGCUAGAGUGCAGUAGAGGUUGGUGGAAUUCCCAGUGUAGAGGUGAAAUUCGUAGAUAUUGGGAGGAACACCGGUGGCGAAGGCGGCCAACUGGGCUGUAACUGACGCUGAGGCGCGAAAGCGUGGGGAUCAAACAGG